rnacentral:rRNA from 1 species
GCCUGACGGAGCAACGCCGCGUGAGGGAUGAAGGCCUCUGGGCUGUAAACCUCUUUUCUCAAGGAAGAAGAUCUGACGGUACUUGAGGAAUAAGCCACGGCUAAUUCCGUGCCAGCAGCCGCGGUAAUACGGGAGUGGCAAGCGUUAUCCGGAAUUAUUGGGCGUAAAGCGUCCGCAGGCGGCCCUUCAAGUCUGCUGUUAAAAAGUGGAGCUUAACUCCAUCGUGGCAGUGGAAACUGUUGGGCUAGAGUGUGGUAGGGGCAGAGGGAAUUCCCGGUGUAGCGGUGAAAUGCGUAGAUAUCGGGAAGAACACCAGUGGCGAAGGCGCUCUGCUGGGCCAUAACUGACGCUCAUGGACGAAAGCCAGGGGAGCGAAAGGGAUUAGAUACCCCUGUAGUCCUGGCCGUAAACGAUGAACACUAGGUGUCGGGGGAAUCGACCCCCUCGGUGUCGUAGCCAACGCGUUAAGUGUUCCGCCUGGGGAGUACGCACGCAAGUGUGAAACUCAAAGGAAUUGACGGGGGCCCGCACAAGCGGUGGAGUAUGUGGUUUAAUUCGAUGCAACGCGAAGAACCUUACCAGGGUUUGACAUCCUGCGAAUCUCCUGGAAACGGGAGAGUGCCUUCGGGAACGCAGUGACAGGUGGUGCAUGGCUGUCGUCAGCUCGUGUCGUGAGAUGUUGGGUUAAGUCCCGCAACGAGCGCAACCCACGUCUUUAGUUGCCAGCAUUCAGUUGGGCACUCUAGAGAGACCGCCGGUGAUAAACCGGAGGAAGGUGUGGAUGACGUCAAGUCAUCAUGCCCCUUACAUCCUGGGCUACACACGUACUACAAUGCUACGGACAAAGGGCAGCAAACUCGCGAGAGCUAGCAAAUCCCAUAAACCGUGGCUCAGUUCAGAUCGUAGGCUGCAACUCGCCUACGUGAAGGAGGAAUCGCUAGUAAUCGCAGGUCAGCAUACUGCGGUGAAUACGUUCCCGGGCCUUGUACACACCGCCCGUCACACCAUGGAAGUUGGCCACGCCCGAAGCCGUUACUCCAACCCUUGUGGAGGAGGACGUCGAAGGUGGGGCUGAUGACUGGGGUGAAGUCGUAACAAGGUAGCCGUACCGGAAGGUGCGGCUG